rnacentral:snRNA from 1 species
GUAGGAGCUUAGGCUCCCAAAGG